UGGUGAUGUUUCUGUAUAGCAAUUUCAUUUUCAACUUAUGAGGUUCAUCUCAUCUGAGGUUCAUGCAUAUCUAUCUAAUAAUCUAUUUGAUUUUAAGGGAAAUUAAAUUUAAAAUUUGUACAACCAAAAUAGCUUAUAAAUGAAUGAUUGUUUGUCUUUUAGUUUCAAAAUCAAAUCCUCGGCUGCAUAAGAAAUGUCUUCCAAGGUUCAGUAAAAGAAGAACAUGAUUAUUGAUCAAGUAGAGAGAAAAAGGGAGGAAUUAUAGAUUUAAUGGAGAGUUACUAAGUUGUAGCAAGAAGUUGAAAAUUGGAUCAUAUUGUUUGGAGUAGAAAUACAUGUGUUUUAGUGUUUUUUUUCUUCAUGUAAACAGAAAAUCAUGGAUUCCCUGUACUUUUUAGCUUAAGAAAUUUGCUUGUCAUGUCUCAUUUUCUGUUUCUUGUGAACCUUUGUUAUUGACACCGAGUUAGAUGCAUUUUUUACUGACUCAGGUCAAAAGAACACUAGAAUUAAGGCACAAUCUUUAAGUUUAGACAAUGUUACAAAGAACUUGAGAAAGUUCUAUGCACAAGCUUACUUGGGACAAUCACCAAAACAAGCUCCAAAGUAUUGGCUUCAUUUUCAAGUUUCUGUACUAUCGCUUGGUUGGAAUACUUACUUUGUCUCAAAGGCAUAUAGUACAGAAAAUGGGAUCAAUGGCAGAUGAAUUGGAUCCAUGUUGAACAAUUGGAUCCAUGUUGAACAAUCAUUGGUGAACACAGGAAAGGAAAGGGCAAAAGUCAGCCUUCUUUUUACAUGGGCGGAAGGCAAUGUUGCCAACCAGAGGGAACAUCUAAUUCUUCUCCUUGCCAAUAUUCACAUUCAGAAAGCUAAUAAGCAGUCUGUCUUGAAGGUAUUUUGAUUGUUAAUUAAGGUUGUAAAGCUUUGCCUUGUGGUGUUUAUUCCAUAUUGGCUGCUUCCUAGUUAUUUUUAGUUUUCUGGUUUUGCCUUGUGGU